AGGGGGUGCUAAACAAUGCCAGUCGAGCGGUAGGCCCCUUCGGGGGUAACGAGCGGCGAACGGGUGAGUAACACGUGAGUAAUCUGCCCUUCACUUCGGGAUAACCACCGGAAACGGUGGCUAAUACCGGAUAUGACCGCCCCAGGCAUCUGGUGGUGGUGGAAAGUUCCGGCGGUGGAGGAUGAGCUCGCGGCCUAUCAGCUUGUUGGUGGGGUGAUGGCCUACCAAGGCGACGACGGGUAGCCGGCCUGAGAGGGUGACCGGCCACACUGGGACUGAGACACGGCCCAGACUCCUACGGGAGGCAGCAGUGGGGAAUAUUGGACAAUGGGCGAAAGCCUGAUCCAGCAACGCCGCGUGAGGGAUGACGGCCUUCGGGUUGUAAACCUCUUUCAGCGGGGACGAAGCGCAAGUGACGGUACCCGCAGAAGAAGCACCGGCCAACUACGUGCCAGCAGCCGCGGUAAUA
rnacentral:rRNA from 1 species